UGAAUAGUGAAGAUACACGUUCCAAA
rnacentral:piRNA from 1 species